UACGGGGGGGGCAAGCGUUGUUCGGAAUUACUGGGCGUAAAGGGCUCGUAGGUGGCCAACUAAGUCAGACGUGAAAUCCCUCAGCUUAACUGGGGAACUGCGUCUGAUACUGGAUGGCUUGAGAUUGGGAGAGGGAUGCGGAAUUCCAGGUGUAGCGGUGAAAUGCGUAGAUAUCUGGAAGAACACCAAAGGCGAAGGCAGCGUCCUGGGAAGUUACUGACGCUCAGGUGCGAAAGCUAGGGGAGCGAACGGG
rnacentral:rRNA from 1 species